rfam:Ailuropoda melanoleuca scaffold1530_19, whole genome shotgun sequence.
AAGACUUCACAAUGAUUUGAUAACCAUGUGCAGGAUGUUGAUCUAAGCUUCUCCCAAUUCUUCAUAACCUCCCUGGGCCAGGCGGGGCUCAAUGACCUCCUCACCAGUGGCACGGCUUCUGAGCACAUCUGAUGUCACC